rnacentral:rRNA from 1 species
AUUGAACGCUGGCGGCAUGCCUUACACAUGCAAGUCGAACGGCAGCACGGGUGCUUGCACCUGGUGGCGAGUGGCGAACGGGUGAGUAAUACAUCGGAACAUGUCCUGUAGUGGGGGAUAGCCCGGCGAAAGCCGGAUUAAUACCGCAUACGAUCUACGGAGGACAGCGGGGGACCUUCGGGCCUCGCGCUAUAGGGUUGGCCGAUGGCUGAUUAGCUAGUUGGUGGGGUAAAGGCCUACCAAGGCGACGCUCAGUAGCCGGUCUGAGAGGACGACCAGCCACACUGGAACUGAGACACGGCCCAGACUCCUACGGGAGGCAGCAGUGGGGAAUUUUGGACAAUGGGCGAAAGCCUGAUCCAGCAAUGCCGCGUGUGUGAAGAAGGCCUUCGGGUUGUAAAGCACUUUUGUCCGGAAAGAAAUCCUUGGCCCUAAUACGGUCGGGGGAUGACGGUACCGGAAGAAUAAGCACCGGCUAACUACGUG